rnacentral:rRNA from 1 species
CCCUGAAAGAUGAUCAGGUUGAUAGGUCUGAGGUGGAAGUGUGGCGACACAUGGAGCUGACAGAUACUAAUCGAUCGAGGACUUAACCUA